rnacentral:rRNA from 1 species
CCUACGGGGGGCAGCAGUGGGGAAUAUUGGGCAAUGGGCGCAAGCCUGACCCAGCAACGCCGCGUGAAGGAAGAAGGCUUUCGGGUUGUAAACUUCUUUUCUGAGGGACGAAGAAAGUGACGGUACCUCAGGAAUAAGCCACGGCUAACUACGUGCCAGCAGCCGCGGUAAUACGUAGGUGGCAAGCGUUAUCCGGAUUUAUUGGGUGUAAAGGGCGUGCAGCCGGGCUGACAAGUCAGAUGUGAAAUCCCGCGGCUCAACCGCGGAACUGCAUUUGAAACUGUCAGUCUUGAGUACCGGAGAGG